GUUGGAGAGCGCCCAGUGCUGGUAGCCUUCGACAGGGAUGAGCGCAUCGUGACGCGGCUCCGGGUGCCCGCUGAUCCCAGGCACCACCGACACGUCCAGGGGGAAGGUGGUGUCUGAAGAUGGAGAGCAUGGACAUCGUCCUGGCAAGGGGGCACUGUGCGGCCAAAAUUCGGCGACAAGAGGAAAAAGCUGGAACCAACGUCCCCUCCGGCAGGAAGACCAGCCCAAGAAGACGUAGCUCCCCAGGAGACUUGGGGAAGUGAGAAGGCUGGAGGGGAAAGUUCGGGGCUGAGGGAGUUAAAAGUGGCCGGUGAGGUGUCCUCAUGCUCUUUCUUUCGGUUCCCCAACACCUUCCGCGCCUGAAACUGCCGGCUCCGCGGCUGGGGCGCGCCGAGCGAGCGGGGCGGGCGGCGGCGUUGCCAGAGCCCGCGGGCGCGCGGCGGAGAGUAAAGCGUUGUUGGUUAAUUAACUUUAAGCCUGGGGUCGCUUCUCCCUCCUCCCCCGAAAAAAAUGUGGAUCUCGCUGAGACACAAAUAAAACCAAAUUAAACACUCCAGGAGAAUAUGCGCCACUGGAAACGUAGUAAUUACACCUCCGAGGCGAUCCCGCCCUAGAAAGCCGGUGCUGAACCCGCGGCUCCGCGCUCACCGCGCCUCCCCCAGCUCGUCCACACCCCACCCCGCCGGGGUGCACACACUGGGCGACGGCGGCGCUGGACCACGGACGAAGUUUGCAGCAAAUCAAGACAAAUGGAAAGGAGUGUGGCUGCCCGGUCUCUAGAUGUGCUGCGUUACACUAAAGGAAGAUGGAAAAUGGCCCGGCAGCCCUGGCUGGUCGGAAAGCCGAGCUCUGCUCUGGGCUCUUUUUACAAAGGGACCUUUGCAAGGGCGAGGCUCCGGAGCCACUCUGCCCUCAGCUUCUUCUGCGGACUGAGGUCCCAGCUCGGUUCAACUCUGAAAUUCUUUUUCUCAGAGGCGAUAUCCUUUGUGCCUACUCACGGGACGUGUGUGACCUCUGUGACGUUGGGGACGGUGCAGGGUGCAUGCACUGUUCCUGGCACAUGCCCUUGUAGGCACAGCCCAAAUGUGCUUAUAAAGAUACCCAGCCCUCUGCUGAAAU